rnacentral:rRNA from 1 species
UAAAAAGGCAUAGAAGUGCCGAAAUGAGGUAAAUUAAUGAGAAGUAUAGCUUAAUAAUUUGUCCCAUAUUUUAGCUCAUUAAGGAUAAGCUUAACGAGAAAUACAGAAGAAAAAUAUGUACUCUAAUGAAUUACUUAGGCUUGAAAUUAGCCAUUGUAGCAAAACUUGUUAUAAAAUAAUUCUUUUAGGAAAAGAAAAUCUUUGUAUUUUUCACUCUGUACUUUAAUGGGGGUAAAAGGUUAAACUAACGAGCCUAAUUUAUUUAUGCUAAAAUGAGUAUUUAAAAAGUUAGCAUAUGUGGGUUAAAAACUAAAGAUACCCAUAGUAGUGUACAAUUUUUAGGUUGAAAUAGGGGGAAGGAACUCGGCAAAUUUUAGCUUCGCCUGUUUAUCAAAAACAUGGCUCUUUGGUAUUUAGGUAUAAAGAGUCAAACCUGCCCAGUGAAAUUUUUAACGGCCGCGGUACCCUGACCGUGCAAAGGUAGCAUAAUCAUUUGCCUUAUAAUUGAAGGCUUGUAUGAAUGGUUUAACGAAAGCACUGCUGUCUCCCCCUUAAUAAAUAGAAUUUGACUUUUAGGUGAAGAGGCUUAAAUAUAAUUGAAAGACAAGAAGACCCUGUCGAGCUUGAAAACUAAGUUGGGAGUAGAUAUAGCAUACCUUAAAUUUAUUACUAAUUAUUUUUUUGGUUGGGGCGACCGAGGAACAGCAAAAGCUUCCUUUUUUGUAUUAACUUAUAAGUGUUGAUCCAGCCAAAGCUGAUUAAAAAAAUUAGUUACCGCAGGGAUAACAGCAUAAUCUCUCUUGAGAGACCAAAUCGAAAGAGGGGGUUGUGACCUCGAUGUUGGACUAGAAUAUCCUAAAGAUGUAGAAGUCUUAAGG